CUGGUAAUGAUUUCCUUUGGGUUUUACUGAGGAGGGAUCAUUA
rnacentral:rRNA from 1 species